ACCGGUUUGUUUUUACUUAUAUAGAGCUGGAGUUCCUAAAUUGUGGGACUGACCUUACUAGGAUGCCCAGAGCAAUUGCUGAAGGGGUAGGGAUAGCAUAAAAUGCAGUAAAAGUGUAAAUUUAAGAGAAUAUGCCUAUAGCUGGUACAUAAGACUGUAAGAAUCCCGUGAUUUAAAGGAAUUAAAUAUGAUGCAUGGGUAUCAAGAGUAAUAUAGUAUAGCUAAUAUUUACACUAACCCACUGGUACAAUAAAUCCUUAUCUGAAUCAGGUAACAAUGCAAGUGAAAGGAGGGCGGGUUUAUAUUUUUCAUCCCAGACACAUUCUCCCGAUCUUUGUGCAACUCUUGAAUCUUCUGAAAAUUCUUCAAUCGCUUCUCAGACUCGUGAAACUCUUUCUGUGGCUUGUGAGACUGAUGAAGGUCUUGGUGUGACUCGAGCAGAUCUUGAGCAUCUGUUGUCGAUCCAUAUUGGGAGGUGCUGGACCCCACGCCUGAUAUCCACGCCCCAUUGGAUGAAUAUAAUAGGAAGUUCUUUCGUGGACAGUUGCCUCCAAUGAACCUGAAAUGGAGUAACAGGUUGUGCAUAACUGUUGGCAUCUUGCUAUACGAUCCUAUACAAGUGGAAGAUGCAGAAUUCCACUGAACAAGCCUAUUCUUGAUUUACGGCCAAGGAAAGAUACAGUGGAAACGCUCCUGCAUGAAAUGAUCCACUACUACCAGCGAGUUAAAGGAACACUUGACAUAGAUCAUGGCCGAACCUUUCACUGUCACAUGGAGCGUAUCAAUAGAGAAAGUGGUGCCAAUAUUACAAUCUAUCAUGAUUUCUAUAAUAAAUAGCAGUCACUGAAGCGCCACUGGUGGAAACGCAACAAUGGCCCCUGCACACAAGUAGUGAGGCGGCUCAUGUACAGGACCCCGCGCUCCAAGGCGCACAAGCGCAAAUGUGGAGAAGAGUUUAUAAAGAUCAGCCAACCAAACAAGAGAUUGAGACUGGACCAAUAGAAUCACUUUGGCAAUAUUAUAGAGACUUACUUCUUGCUGUUAUAUUGAGAUGCUGGCCAAGAACAAAUUCAAAUGAGCAGCCAUAAGUUUAAUAUUGGCUAAUUGAUAUAAGGCACGGUGCUAUAAAGAGGAACAGAACAUACAGCUGAAGUGGCCAGUGGAAGGGAUACAAGUUGGAACUGUGACUGUUCCAGUGGAUACAGAUCAAGAGGCCAAUUUUUCUUAUUUUGCUUAUUUGCGAGAGAGCAAAUUAUUUUCUCUUUCCCUUCCACCUUAUUUAAUGGACAUUCGAUGUAUUUAAUUGUGCAAUGAAUAGAGCCAGGGAACAUUUGAGUCAGAUAAAGAACCCGCGAAUGGCUGAAAAGAGCAAUGUCACUAGGCACUUUAAUACAUGUAAUGGAAACUCCCUAGAAUCUUUUAGCAUUCAGGGGAUAGAGAGAGUCAGAUUGGGGGAAAGAGGAGGAGAUCAGUUGAGCCUCUUGGAGAGGAGAGAAGUAUUCUGGAUAUUCCAUCUGAGCACGCGCUUGCCCUUAGGACUUAAUCAUGAAUUUGAUGUUACUUGUUAUACGUGAAAAGGCUAAUAUUGAUAUCUAGUUUAAAAAGGGAGCAAUUGACGGUCUAGGAACAACAAAUGCAAAGGAAGUGAGUGGUACUGAUGUUUGGUUAUUAUACUAAUUUUGUGAGAUAUACUAUUAUACAUACUUAAGGAUUGAAUUUAUAAAUAGUGACUAUUGUAUAUACAUAGCAAUUGGAUUUAUAAAUAUACACACAAGUAAAAUAUUAAGAAAUUAAACCCCAUUUGGGCAUGGUUGAACAGUAAUUAACACAAUAGGGUUAAUCCCUCAAAGAUUCUGAUUGGUUUUAAACAAAGUGGGAGGGACUGAUAGGGUAUAAAUCCCGCAGAGGUUGUGUGGUCUACAGAUACACCUAUGACUAA